rnacentral:rRNA from 1 species
GACUUGUUUUCAACCCCUCCCUGAUUUUUCGCACAUGAAUUGGUAAGCUUUGAAGUGUUCUUGAGUGAGACAUUUUUGCGCAAGCAAAAAGCGUCGACGACUUCAUCGCCCAUUUGUUGUUAUUAUUUUUCUGAGCGCAAGCUUCGAGAGAGAACGCGGCUGACAGUUGUAGUGUGAAUCAGGCAAACAUUCGUCUUAUAGUUUUCACAAUCGCUCUUGGUGCGAACUAUAAGAUAAAACAAAAAUAAUUAACUUAUUUCACCCCCCUUUUUGCUAGUUGACUUUUUAUAUGUUGGUUUCUUUUUUGUUCAACUGUGCGAGAUUCAUUUCUCAAACGAUGUCUAAGAAAGGAUCACACGUUUAAUUACUUGAACGUUAAAAAAUACAACUCUUAGCAAUGGAUAUCUAGGUUCUCGCAACGAUGAAGAACGCAGCGAAAUGCGAUACGUAAUGCGAAUUGCAGAAUUCAGUGAAUCAUCAAAUCUUUGAACGCAAAUUGCGCUCUUGGGUAGCCCUAGGAGCACGCCUCUCUCAGUAUCGGUUCAAAUCAAUCUCAGCAGCGUGUUUGUUUAAUUAAUUUUAAUUCGUUAAAAUAUAAAUUAAAGAAAGGCGUGUUGGCUGGAAAAUGAGAGUCUUCUGAUUUAGUUCCAGCAGUCUCUUCAAAUUUAUCGAGUGGAUGCCAUUUACAGAUUUUCAUCAGC